rnacentral:misc_RNA from 1 species
CCUAGAGUUGUAGGCUUUGCCUGCUAUCUCUUACCCAUGUCUUUUGAGUACCUUACGUUUCCUCGGUGGGUUCGCCCGCCGAUUGGACAACUUAAACCCUUUGCAGUUGAAAUCAGCGUCUGAAAAAACUUAAUAGUUA